rnacentral:rRNA from 1 species
CAGCCCUAAACGAUGCGCGUUAGGUGUAUCGGUGACCACGAGUCACCGAGGUGCCGAAGGGAAACCGUGAAACGUGCCGCCUGGGAAGUACGGUCGCAAGGCUGAAACUUAAAGGAAUUGGUGGGGGAGCACCACAACGGGUGGAGCUUGCGGUUUAAUUGGAUUCAACGCCGGAAAUCUUACCGGGACCGACAGCAACAUGAAGGCCAGGCUGAAGACUUUGCCGGAUUAGCUGAGAGGAGGUGCAUGGCGUAGUCGUGU